UAUUAUGCACCUACUUUGCUCGUGUUAGUUCACAUUAGUGGGUGCUAUUUCCUCUGUCUGAAGCUCGAAUUCGUUAUUUAUGAUUCGAAUUGGUUAAGAAGCAAGUUUUUUUAAAAAAUAAACUUCUGUAUAAGCAUGCAGUCCCCCCUCCCCCCAAGUGUUUCUGUUAGCUGGGUUUGAGUCCCGCGUCCCCCGGCUCGGAGAACUGAAGCGGCAUUGAGGAGUAUUCCGAUCCAGACAGGUAUCACUUUCUAUUUUUAAGCAAGCCAGAAUGAGGAAAUGUUAAUGACCACUGCCAUCUCAAAUCCCCGGGUCUGAAUACUUCGUCUGUCACGACUGUCACUGGGAAUCCACAGGAGGUGAGCUGAAUAAGAUUAGACUAUUUACCCCAUCAGCCCUCCAUCAAAGAAGGUAGGAAAUUGUACGCAUGAAAUGAAAACAACCCAUUAAGGUCCGUUUACGAGGAACACAUUAUUUUGCCUCAACAAA